rnacentral:rRNA from 1 species
GACGAACGCUGGCGGCGUGCCUAAUACAUGCAAGUCGAACGCAUUUUCUUUCACCGUAGCUUGCUACACCGAAAGAAAAUGAGUGGCGAACGGGUGAGUAACACGUGGGUAACCUGCCCAUCAGCGGGGGAUAACACUUGGAAACAGGUGCUAAUACCGCAUAAUUCCAUUUACCGCAUGGUAGAUGGGUGAAAGGCGCUUUUGCGUCACUGAUGGAUGGACCCGCGGUGCAUUAGCUAGUUGGUGGGGUAACGGCCUACCAAGGCUGCGAUGCAUAGCCGACCUGAGAGGGUGAUCGGCCACACUGGGACUGAGACACGGCCCAGACUCCUACGGGAGGCAGCAGUAGGGAAUCUUCGGCAAUGGACGCAAGUCUGACCGAGCAACGCCGCGUGAGUGAAGGAGGUUUUCGGAUCGUAAAACUCUGUUGUUAGAGAAGAACAAGGAUGAGAGUGGGAAGUUCAUCCCUUGACGGUAUCUAACCAGAAAGCCACGGCUAACUACGUG